rnacentral:rRNA from 1 species
AUUGAACGCUGGCGGCAGGCCUAACACAUGCAAGUCGAGCGGAUGAAGGGAGCUUGCUCCUGGAUUCAGCGGCGGACGGGUGAGUAAUGCCUAGGAAUCUGCCUGGUAGUGGGGGAUAACGUCCGGAAACGGGCGCUAAUACCGCAUACGUCCUGAGGGAGAAAGUGGGGGAUCUUCGGACCUCACGCUAUCAGAUGAGCCUAGGUCGGAUUAGCUAGUUGGUGGGGUAAAGGCCUACCAAGGCGACGAUCCGUAACUGGUCUGAGAGGAUGAUCAGUCACACUGGGACUGAGACACGGUCCAGACGCCUACGGGAGGCAGCAGUGGGGAAUAUUGGACCAUGGGCGAAAGCCUGAUCCAGCCAUGCCGCGUGUGUGAAGAAGGUCUUCGGAUUGUAAAGCACUUUAAGUUGGGAGGAAGGGCAGUAAGUUAAUACCUUGCUGUUUUGACGGUACCAACAGAAUAAGCACCGGCUAACUUCGUG